GAUGAACGCUGGCGGCGUGCCUAAUACAUGCAAGUCGAGCGAACGGACGAGAAGCUUGCUUCUCUGAUGUUAGCGGCGGACGGGUGAGUAACACGUGGAUAACCUACCUAUAAGACUGGGAUAACUUCGGGAAACCGUAGCUAAUACCGGAUAAUAUUUUGAACCGCAUGGUUCAAAAGUGAAAGACGGUCUUGCUGUCACUUAUAGAUGGAUCCGCGCUGCAUUAGCUAGUUGGUAAGGUUACGGCUUACCAAGGCAACGAUGCAUAGCCGACCUGAGAGGGUGAUCGGCCACACUGGAACUGAGACACGGUCCAGACUCCUACGGGAGGCAGCAGUAGGGAAUCUUCCGCAAUGGGCGAAAGCCUGACGGAGCAACGCCGCGUGAGUGAUGAAGGUCUUCGGAUCGUAAAACUCUGUUAUUAGGGAAGAACAUAUGUGUAAGUAACUGUGCACAUCUUGACGGUACCUAAUCAGAAAGCCACGGCUAACUACGUG
rnacentral:rRNA from 1 species